CAUAGUGCAAAGAGUUACUUAAGGCAAAGCCUUCUCUUGUAAACAGCAAACAGGCCCUAAACAAACAAGCGUGACUGCUAUAAUAAUAAAUAAAAAAAAAAGGGUUAAGGGAACAAACUGCAGUUUUUGGGAGGUCUCCUUUCCCCCCCAGCCUGUAACUCAUGUAGGGAACAUUGCACCCCCUGAUCCAUGAGCUGGUCCCAAGGGAAUGCUGCUGCCCGUGGCCACAAGCAGGGCCACAAUCCCAGUCCUGAGUGACUCCAGGUGCAGCUCCCUGACUCCUCUGCAAGUGCCCGGGACAAGGCAGAGCCUGAGCUCACACUCCCUUCUCUGGUCAGGGCUUGGCUGCUCCCAAGUGUUGGUGGCUGGAGAGAGCCAUCAUGGCCAAGGGAGGUGUGUGGGGAGGCACAGGGACAAGUGGUUGAGCAAUGGGGAGAUUUGCAUCCCUUUGAAGUGGAGUGGAAGCAGCUGAGAGCCCUUCUAACAGCCAGCAGUGCUCAGGGGCACUCGGCCCAGGGAAUCUUUCCAACUCCCAGGAAACCUGGGAGUGACCAGCCCUGGCGGUGCCUUUCCGAGCAAAGCCACUCAACAAGAAGACAGUUCCUUGCUAGAGCCCAGGUUUACAGCUCAGAGGCAUCUCCCAGCAGUCUGGCCUCUCUGCUCCUUCUGUUUUGGCUUAAAUUGCUAAUCAAGAAGGAAAAUAGAAGGAAACCCAUGCCAGCUGCCCUCAGGCUCUUGGCUUGCACUCCAGAGCCAAGACGCUCCCCGGUCUGGUUCCAGCCGAAAUUGGCUGUGGCGUGUGGCUGACCUCAGGCAAGCAGCUGGAAAAGGAAAAGCUUUUUUGUGCAAGGGCCUCCUGCAGCCCAGCAAUUUCUUGGAAUGGUGCUGGUUGCCCAAGCUGGGACGAGCCAUCUCAGGCCUCCCCCAGCCUGGAUGGGAUGCACUUGGUGGACUUGAAAUGAAAGGAGCUACAUUGGUGACAGACAACAAGACAAAAGAACAGUACAGCCCUGCCCUAAUGCAAGAUAUCCAUGGUCCCGGUACUGCUCCAAGCACACGACUGCAGAUCCACAGCAUGGAUGUGCAGAAACUGUGCCUGGAGCUGGAAUGUCUGUGAGCUCCCAGGGGCUUUGGGGUGCUCCCUCUCCUCCCAAAGAGUUCCUCCCUCUAGCCAGCCCAGCCUGGAAAGGAGCCAGCAAGCUCUGGAGUGACCCU